GACGCCAGUCCACCUGUGGCUCCGGAGAGCACACAGUACUGCCCUGCUGAUCCUGGCCGUCCUGGGACGCGGCGCCUGUGACGUCCCGACGAGACCUACGCGCACACUCCACCACAUCAGCGCCGCCGCCGCGCCGUGCAGAGAACGUGCCACUCUUUUUAACCAGGUGAGCCCCAUGUUUCCAACCAACAAGACAAACGAAAGAGACUGCAGGCUACACAAGUACUACUAUUGGAUAUCUAGCAGAACACAAGAAGAGUCUCAAGGCUGCAGGAGUGCACUUAAACAGCGGACGAUUUAUAAAUAGUUACGAAAAGAAGGUACUUAGUUCCAAAAGCUGCAGAACAAUGUUACGGGCUGUGACUCCAAUCUCAGGCGGUUGGUAAAGAACUUGUGCGGUAGUUUUCUAAUAGAAGGCAACUGAACUUUGGGACUAAAACUAAUUAAAAAAUAUUAUACUUUUCUCAGUGAACAUAAUAAAAAUGACCUUGAUCCAGGCAGCCUACGGACUGGGUCAGUUAGUAACUUCUUACCAAUCGCCUCAGUUAGGCCUCUCACUAAAGUCCAAGAAGCAGCGAGCAGGAGGGACCGAAAGUCAAUGAGUAAAUUUUUCACUCGACGACUAUUUAAGGCACAUCACACACUACCUGAAUCAGUACCUAAUUUUAGUCAAAUGGCACCUGUCUUUUUGUAUAAUACCGGUUAUUACAUCUACCCGGGGCCCAGGGCACUCUUUGUAGGAAGGCCGGUCAACGGUUGCUAUACCAUCCUAGUAAGCAUUCUUACAGAAGUUUUCCGUUAUACUUAAUAUCUAAUAAUACGUAACCCUUCGUAUGCCUUUGUUAAACAUUUGCUACUGAUUUAAUAACCUACUGAUAUGAAUGAAAAUUGUAAAUUACAGUCCAAAUUGUGUGGUACGUACUACCACGUACACGGGACAAGGCAUACGAAAUUUUAAGAGGAAAUAGGACAGCCGCUUCAAACAAACGUAGUCCCCAUUUUGCUCUCAGGAUAUUGACGUUAUGGAAAAUUAUUUUUACAUAAUUUAAUUUAUACUUAUUAUUCUUAUUAACUAUUAUUACUUAGCUAUGCCUCUACGUAUGACAUUUUUCUCUGCAGCUGACUGGUGGCAGACCCUCCAACGCGUUCGGUUCCUAUAAGCUAUAGCUCAAUAAAUUCAAAAAAUAAAACGAUGCGGCAUGUCUGUGAUUGAUAUGUACCUACUUGACAUCAAAUUGUGUAAAAAUAUUAUAAAUUAUAAAUUGAAAUAGAUGAUUUGUUAUGAAAGGUGAUUUUGCGCCGGUCGACUUUUCAAAUAGUUAUUGUUAACGAUCUUUUGAUAUUUUGUGAAAGGGUAACAGCCCAAAAUGUAAAAAAAAAAAACAAAAAGUUCUCCCGUGGCGGGAAUUGAACCCAGGUCACAAGCGAACACUUUGCGUUGGGCCAAGCAUACAUAGAUCUGCUUGCUAGAUUAAGACCAAGAUAACUCUGCAGAGAUUUUCAUAGUAGUCGAUUAACAAAAUAUCUUUAAUAAUGUUAGUUAUAAAUUGAAAUAUAUGUCCAUCUAUCCAGAGAUAAAUCUAUCCUGUCAUCCACUUUUAUUCUAUAAAAAUGAACUACAUUCAUUUAACGUUUUUAGCAAAUCAAGAUAAAACAAUUUUUUAGUUUUAAAACAUUGUUAACGAUCUUCUGAUAUUUUGUGAAACGGAAAAGUAACGGAAAAAAUAAAAAUAAUAAUAAACAAAAAGUUCACCCUAGGUGGGAUUCGAACCCGGGGUCACAAUGCGUGCACACUUUAUGAAACCAUGUU